AUUAGAAAGAUCUCAUAGUCAUUCUACAACUUUCCCUCCUCUCAGCUUUCCUUCUCAGCUUUCCCUCUCAUCUCUUUCCUAAUCACAAAUCGUCAUCAAGCCAUUAUUCAUUGUCUCUUCUUCUCAUCGAACUGUUCUUCUGGAGCAUUUUCCCUCCAUCAGCCUCUUCGUCGAUCUAUCAGCCUCUCGUCGAACCAUUUAUGGAGUUCUCAUCCUGCAACCAUGGAACUUUUGUUGUCGUCUUCAUCAUUUUCUCUCUCGAGCGCUUCUCAGCCAUCCACAUUUUCUUCAGAGAUUCAUAGGUUUGUUCAUCACAAAAUCACUUCAUUAUGGUCAAAUCUCCAUUUCUUCCUUCUAUUUUUACUUCCAUAUACAAAACCACCUCCAAAUCCUAGGGUUUCGUCCUCCUCUUCAUUUUUCCUUCAUUUUUAACCAAUUAAAAUCACUUUUUUACUGUUAAAACCAUUUCUACUGUUUGUCCUUCGAUUUCCACCAAUUUAACCUCCAUUUUCAUCGUUUAAACAAUUUUGUACUGAUCAAUCUUACGUUUGAACCGAUUAAUCGGUUCAUAUUGAGUUUCUUUCCCUUUGUAGGGUUCCUUCGGCCCAGAUUAGGGUUCGUCGUCCAUUUUUGAGCUUUUCCCCAAUCAUUUUGGCUUCAAUUUNUUUGUUUAGGGUUUUUUAACAUUUUCUUCCGUUUAUUCUUUGUUUUGCUCUCGAUGUCUCAUUAUUCCGCUGCGUUUGCUCAUCAAGAAGCUUCUAUCAAGUGGCCGCAAAAUCAAUCACACCCAANGGCGUUUCGGUGCUCCUCGCCAACCCUUNCCUAGAUUCUUUGUCGGAUCUUCCCGACAUUGUUGUUCAAAUAGUUGAUCUCAAGCCCAGCGGAAACAGAUACAUCUUGCUGAAAUAAUGAUUCAGGUUUACUCAAAGGUGAGUGGAGAAAAAACUCCUGAAACCCCAACCAUUGAUGUGAGCUCAAAAGAAUUUUAUGGUGAGGGAUAUGAUGACAGUGACAAGAGAAUUCCUGACAUGACCAUAAUAAACAAGCAGCUUGGUUGAAAUCCUAAGACUUCGCUCUUCGACCUGCUGGAAUCCACUCUGACCUAUCAGCACAGGACAUAUGCUGAAGCCAUCAAGAAAGUAAUUUGCUAUCUUGGAGAAGGGUGACGUUGCGUAAGUUUCUGCCAUAUUUCACUGGUUGAUUUUAUAUAAAUGGUAAAUUUUCUUCCUUUUGGUUUCCUUAGCCAGCAGUAGGCAAUAACUCACAUAAGUCAUUGCCUUAAUGUAUGUUCUAGAGAAGUAGGAAUUUAUAUAUAGGGAAAUCUAUGUUGCUGUGUAAUUUUAAUGUAUACUUUGCGUUACUAAACAUCUUGAGGCAUUUUAUAAUAUUAGAGAAGAUGUUUUUUAUGUGUUGCUAGGGAUCUCUCCAACAUUGUUUUGUUGUCUUUCCGGGUCAGCUGUAAGUUGUAUCAUUCUGUAUUGAUCCUCUUAAGAGCCAUGUCUUCUUAAUAUUAAUUUAUUAUAUGUUUUUUUAGUGGUAUAGUUUUAAAUAUUGCUCCAGUUUAUCUUUGUUUAAAUUAAACUAUCUUUUCCCUUCCUUGUCAUACUUAUGUUCUUAUUGUCAAAUAUUUGCAUUGGGUUCUUUUUUUCGUAUGCAGUGUAGAAAAUUCGAAACUUUGGUNUGGUAUGCUUUGGGAAUGGAAUAUUCCUCACAAUGUUCUGAAUGCUAGUCCCAAGGUUUGUGAAAUUAUAUUGUUGGUAUCUUCAAAACCCUAAUUCCUCUUUUUUUAGCCAUUAUGUUCCCUCACAUUCUUUGGUUGUUGUUGUUUGAAUCUUUGGUGCUAAGCAGAGCAUUGGCGUGAAUAAUUGAGAAGUUCAUGGAUUUUUUAUUAUGUUUUUUCCCUCUAUUCUAUCUCAUUAUUGCUUGGAGCAACCAUUAGCUUUUUCUUUGUCCAACCAACUCCAAAAGCCUAAUUUUUUGGCUACUUAGCUGAUGGAUAUAUUUUCUACUGUGAUGAAGCAUGAUAAAGGUAUCCAACAUUCGAUUUUCCUGGAUAUUCAGUGGACUUUUCAAUAUAUAAAGGGAACUUCUGGAAAGAGUUUCAAACAACACCAACCAAUAGGUUGAUCAAGGGAUAUGUUUGAAAGGUAAGUCUGAAGAUGAUAAGGUAUCAAACAAAAAAAGGCUAAGGGUUUGAUGAUAAUGGGAUCGCUCCCGGUUCAGUUCCUAACCUUUAUCCACCAUCCCUCAAGCAUAUGAAGUUGUCAUGGAGGAUGGAAAGUUUUUCUACAAGCAAUCAGGAGAACUCCUAACACCAUUGCAACAUACGAGAUCAAUUUGAUUCAAACUAAGAGACAAUGAUCAAGUACAAGAUAAAGAAUCCUUUAAUUUGCUUUGUUCUUAUUGUAAUUAUUAGUAUNAGAAACAUCCAGACUUUAGUUAUCACUAUGUUUGAGUAAUCAGAUAUUUGAAUUUUAUAGUAUGUGAACUUUAUGUGUGAAA